ACCAAAGGACCGGGCCGCAGCCCGUGGAUUGGGGACCACUGUUCUAUAGUAGUGCCUUGAGAGGAUCUAAUGAAAUGCUUGCUGAUUCUGUAUCUAAAACAUAACCACUAUAACCAAAUCAAAUUUGAGCACGAUUCUUUUUGAUAAGGUGCGAUCUGUGAUUGAAUUGCGCAAGGAUACCUGUGGGUGUAUUUCCAACCUUGAUUGAUGAGAUCUUUAACCUUUUAAUCAUAUCCAAUGUGUGAGGAAGGUUUAAGGUUUCCAGCUUGAGCACACACAGCACCGUAAAUCUCGUGUGCUAACCGUCUCCAGGCGAUCAUUUUUCAUUGAGACAAGAGUCUUGUGUAAAAGAAUAGUAGCUUUUAAUGAAGUCUCACAGUGUGCGUGUGGGAAUAUCCUCCAUCCUUUUUGGAGAGAAUAUUUAUGGCCAUUGGCAGAAAUCUCCGCUGUUUGACGCUUUUUUUUUUUUUUUCCUUUUGAGGGCAUGCUAUACUUUGUCCUUCCAAAGACCUGGUAUUUGGCUCUUAUUCAUAAACUUCAAUUGCUGUAAAUCAUGAGGACAGCGGUACCGAGGGGAAAAAAAAACAACAUGGCUGCGUUCACACUUGUGGUUUGGUACUCUGGUCUAUCUAGCCAUCUUUCCGAGCUGCACAGAGACAACAGGUUGUGUGGAAAAGAAGAACUGGAUAUUGGGUGACGCCAUCGUCUAAUUUGCUUAACUGGCCAUGAUGCAUGUGCAUGUCAUUUUCAUGGACGCUGUGGGAGACACAAAAAUGAGCAAAAAACAUGAAAGCAAACAACUGUUUGGAAAUACAAAUGAACUUUCUUCUGUUGCAGCUUUUUUUUCUAAGCAGGAGUGCUUGUUCACAGCUGAGACCAGGGAUCUUGGUCUCAGAAAGCCUUUCAUCCACACGGAAGCUGCAUUCUGGAUGCCCUGGAACGGUACUUCAUGAAAGCGGCAUCCAGAAAACUUGGGCUUGUCUUUUCUGUGUAGACUCCACUGCUUUUUGAAAAGGAUGAGACCACCGACCCGUCGCCGUCAUGUGACCAGAAGUGAGCUUUGGUGACAUCUGAUUUGGACCGGCAUGACUCACCGCAGUCAACAUUCUCCUGAUAUUUAGUUGUAUUAUACUCCAAAGGGACCCUCUGAAGGGACCAGAGAAAAUGAACCACACAAAGAAUGAUGCAGUCUGGUGGAUUAAAGUCAUCAACAGUCGACAAUACAAACAUUGCAACACAAAGGAUUGCUGAAAAAGAAGAUCUGGAACUGGAAGUGUAAAACCACACUUAGGAACAAUACAGCAGCAACAUUCAUGACUUAUUACUCGCGUGCUAAAGCCAACCAAGUCAAGCAAUCGGCUUCAUGCACUGAACAUUACAAUCAGCUAUGACCUCAUUUAUUUAGACAUGUUUCACUCCUUGAGUAUUUAUCAUUUUCUGAUCAUAUGCUGUAUGUAUUCCACUUAUUUAUGAUUUCAUUUCUCCUUACUUUUUCCAUCAUGACUGCAUUGGCUGCCUGAGGGGUGUCACGAGACACCCAGCUCAAGCGACGAGACGCUGCACGGGAUUGGGCCCACAAGACACGACGAGACGAGAUUUUAUGGAAAAAAUAGGCCCAAAUUACAGGCUCUUAAGGAGUACAUCUCCUUGUCACUCAUUCGCCCUUCAUCAUCACCAUUAGGGGCAGGCUUCUUGUUUGUGGAGAAAAAGGACAAGUCCUUACACCCAUGCAUAAACUACCGGGGACUUCAUGAGAUUAUGAGUUUGGAGAUGUUUCUGCAAGGCCUUGGGGGCAACGGCAAGUCUGUCUUCCAGUUACCACCCUCAGACGAACGGCCAGACAGAGCUGGCCAAUCAAGACUUGGAAGCUGGCCUCCGUUGCGUCUGCCAUCAACAUCCCGCCUCAUGGUUGCUCCACCUCCCCGUUCCCUUCACAGGAGGUGGAAGUUUAUCUACCAUCAGUCCAGCUAUAUCUCCGUCGGGCCCACCGUGUCUGGCGGGAGACUCGGGCAGCGCUUUCCUGGAUGGCAGAUUGCAAUUGUCAGCUGGCGGAUCGUCACAGGGCCCCCGCACCGGACUACCAGCCAGGCUAGGAGGUGUGGCUGUUGUCCCGUGGAAGCUGGCACCCAGAUUUGUGGGUCCUUAUGUCAUUGACUCCCUCGUUAACAAGUCCGCCAUCAAGCUCAAGUUGCCACCCUCUCUCAAUGUCCACCCAGUGUUCCAAGUCUCCUAUCUCAAGCCAGUCACCUUCAGCCCGCUGUGCCCUCCGAUCAAGGCCCUGCCUCCGCCGUGCGUGAUCAAUGGUCAGCUCGCCUACACGGUGAAGGCCCUUUUGAAUUCCAGAAGGAGGGGAAGGGGUGUUCAGGGGAAGGGGUGUUCAGUACUUGGUUGACUGGGAGGGAUAUGGACCGGAGGAGCGUUCCUGGGUUUCCCGCUUCUGUAUCCUUGACCCCUCCCUUAUCUGCGGCUUCCAUUCUCUUCAUCCUGAUAAACCAGGUAAGCCGCCAGGGGGCGUCUUAUAAAAGGGGGGAGAUAGCGUAAUGCUCUGUAGUGCCACUCUGCUGCUGCCUGCCACUCUCCUUGCUGCAGAAUCGGAGCCAGGAGAAACACACCUGUUGACAAUUACUGCCUGUGCUACUUAGACUCCAUGCCUGGGUUACCUGUUGCCAGAUUGUACCCAUGCUUACCUGCUCACCAACUCCUGUCUCACGUUAUGCCUUGUUCCUCGCUUUCUGGUCACCCUUUGUAAGUACUCAUGUUCCCUGCUUGGCGUCUUCCAGCGGUGGUGUUUUCUGUUUAUGCUCUAGUUGUUUUUCCUGCUAAGUCCUCAGCAGCGCCUUUUGUUUGUGGCUCCCUUAGCUCACUUCCUGCUAGGUUUUCAGCAGCGUUUUCUGUUCUUUGUACUUUUGUAGUUCCUGCCAGUUUUUCCUGCAGCGUUCUAGUUUAGCUUUUGUCUUCGCUACAUCGUUAGUUUCAUUUUUGCCUUUUAUGGGGGUUUUUUGUCAUAAAAAUAUUCUUUGAACCUUUCAUUGGUGUCUCUCUCUGCAUCUUGGGAUCCAAGCCCGGGCUUAAGCCGUUCUUGACACCCAUUCCGAAGGUCCUCUGUUCGAGCCCCGGCGUGGGCAGUGUGCAUCAGGCGUGUUACAUAAACAUGUGAUAUUCAUUAAUGGAACUUGCCAGGCAUGUCCAAAAAACAAAAACAAUUACUCUUCCCAGCGUAAUUUUAGAAUGAUCAUCACAAAAUUUGCAACAUAGAUUUGGGGGACUGACAGGCACAUGCGUGUAAAAUUUCAGCAAGAUUGGUGGAAAAACAUGGCCGCCACCAAGCAAAAUAUCUUUGAGUUUACCUUCUAACUGUCCAUAAAUGAUUGACCGUUUGUGUAAUGAUCACAAAA